ensembl:snoRNA
AAGACUAUACUUUCAGGGAUCAUUUCUAUAGUUCGUUACUAGAGAAGUUUCUCUGAUCGUGUAGAGUACCGAAAACCAUGAGAAGGAGACGCAGCAUUCUCUUCUGAGCGUGAAGCCGACAUUUAUUGUUGCGUUUUUGCAAUUAUCAUUUGUCAUUGAUGAUCGUUCUUGCUUUCCUUUUAGGAAGUAAGAGGGAGAGUGUGCAGUCUGAGUGGAA